rnacentral:rRNA from 1 species
UGAAUUGACGGGACCGCACAAGCGUGGAUGAUGUGGUUUAAUUCGAUGCAACGCGAAAACCUUACCCACCUUUGACAUGUACGGAAUCCUUUAGAGAUAGAGGAGUGCUCGAAAGAGAGCCGUAACACAGGUGCUGCAUGGCUGUCGUCAGCUCGUGUCGUGAGAUGUUGGGUUAAGUCCCGCAACGAGCGCAACCCUUGUCAUUAGUUGCUACAUUCAGUUGGGCACUCUAAUGAGACUGCCGGUGACAAACCGGAGGAAGGUGGGGAUGACGUCAAGUCCUCAUGGCCCUUAUAGGUGGGGCUACACACGUCAUACAAUGGAUGGUACAAAGGGUCGCCAACCCGCGAGGGGGAGCCAAUCCCAUAAAGCCAUUCGUAGUCCGGAUCGCAGUCUGCAACUCGACUGCGUGAAGUCGGAAUCGCUAGUAAUCGUGGAUCAGAAUGUCACGGUGAAUACGUUCCCGGGUCUU